rnacentral:tRNA from 1 species
AUUUAUAUAGCUUAUCUGUAAAGCAUCAUAUUGAAGCUAUGAAAAAGGUAUGUACCUGUAAAUA